rnacentral:rRNA from 2 species
UGGGCGUAAGCGCGCGCAGGCGGUUUCUUAAGUCUGAUGUGAAAGCCCACGGCUCAACCGUGGAGGGUCAUUGGAAACUGGGGAACUUGAGUGCCUAAGAGAAAAGCGGAAUUCCACGUGUAGCGGUGAAAUGCGUAGAGAUGUGGAGGAACACCAGUGGCGAAGGCGGCUUUUUGGUCUGUAACUGACGCUGAGGCGCGAAAGCGUGGGGAGCAAACAGGAUUAGAUACCCUGGUAGUCCACGCCGUAAACGAUGAGUGCUAAGUGUUAGAGGGUUUCCGCCCUUUAGUGCUGCAGCUAACGCAUUAAGCACUCCGCCUGGGGAGUACGGUCGCAAGACUGAAACUCAAAGGAAUUGACGGGGGCCCGCACAAGCGGUGGAGCAUGUGGUUUAAUUCUUAUUAACGCGAAGAACCUUACCAGGUCUUGACAGCGUCUGACAACUCUAGAGAUAGAGCGUUCCCCUUCGGGGGACAGAGUGACAGGUGGUGCAUGGUUGUCGUCAGCU